UUUAAGUUUCAGACUUGCGUCCGUACUUCCCAGGCGGCAAACUUAACGGCUUCCCUGCGGCACUGCAUUGGCCAUAAGCCAAUGCAUCACCGAGUUUGCAUCGUUUACAGCUGGGACUACCCGGGUAUCUAAUCCGGUUUGCUCCCCCAGCUUUCAUCCCUCACCGUCGAACGUGUUCUGGCAGACCGCCUUCGCCACUGGUGGUCCUCGGAGGAUCAGAGGAUUUUACCCCUACCCCCCGAAUACCGUCCGCCUCUCCCACUCCCUAGCUUUGUAGUAUCUCCAGCGGCCCAUCUGUUAAGCAGGUGGAUUUAACCGGAGACUUGCAAAGCCGGCUACG
rnacentral:rRNA from 1 species